UAGGUGAUAAUAUAAAGGAAGUAUGAAGGGCUUUGAUCCCUUUCGUGUAGGUUCGAUUCCUACUCCCCUAA
rnacentral:tRNA from 1 species